GUGUCGUGAGAUGUUGGGUUAAGUCCCGCAACGAGCGCAACCCUUUUCCUUACUUGCCAGCAUUUCGGAUGGGAACUUUAAGGAUACUGCCAGUGACAAACUGGAGGAAGGCGGGGACGACGUCAAGUCAUCAUGGCCCUUACGGCCAGGGCUACACACGUGCUACAAUGGUCGGUACAAAGGGUUGCUACACAGCGAUGUGAUGCUAAUCUCAAAAAGCCGAUCGUAGUCCGGAUUGGAGUCUGCAACUCGACUCCAUGAAGUCGGAAUCGCUAGUAAUCGCGGAUCAGAAUGCCGCGGUGAAUACGUUCCCGGGCCUUGUACACACCGCCCGUCACACCAUGGGAGUUUGUUGCACCAGAAGUAGCUAGCCUAACUGCAAAGAGGGCGGUUACCACGGUGUGGCCGAUGACUGGGGUG
rnacentral:rRNA from 1 species